CGGGACGGGUGGGUAACGCGUGGAUAACCUGCCUCACACUGGGGGAUAACAGUUAGAAAUGGCUGCUAAUACCGCAUAAGCGCACAGUACCGCAUGGUACGGUGUGAAAAACCCAGGUGGUGUGAGAUGGAUCCGCGUCUGAUUAGCCAGUUGGCGGGGUAACGGCCCACCAAAGCGACGAUCAGUAGCCGACCUGAGAGGGUGACCGGCCACAUUGGGACUGAGACACGGCCCAA
rnacentral:rRNA from 1 species